rnacentral:rRNA from 1 species
UGCGGUUAUACAAAAAUUAAAUUAAAUUUUUUUAGAUUUUAAUAAAUAGAUAGAUUAAAUUAUAAUAAAUUAAAUUUUAAAUUAUAUAGUGAAAUUUUAAUUUAAUUAAAAUUUAUUUUAUAUUAUGAUAUUAAUAAAUUUUAUAAAAAACUAGGAUUAGAUACCCUAUUAUAAAAAUUUAAAUUUAAAAAUCUUAAAUAGUAUAUAAUUUUUUAUAGAAACUUAAUUAAAUUGGCGGUAUUUUAGUUCAUUUAGAGGAAUCUGUCUAAUAAUUGAUAAUCCACGAUUAAAUUUACUUAAUUUAUAAUUUUGUAUAUCGUUGUUAAAAAAAUAUUUUUAAAUAAAAAUAAUAUUUUAAUAUUUAUAUAUAUAAAAAUUAAAUCAGAUCAAGAUGCAGAUAAUAAUUAAGAAUAUGAUGGAUUACAAUAAAAUUUAUUUAUUUGGAAAUUAAUUUGUAAUUUUAAUUGAAAAUGGAUUUAAAUGUAAUUUUAUUUAUUAUAAUAAAAUGAUUUAAAAUUAAAAUAUGUACAUAUUGCCCGUCGCUUUCAUUUAUAAAUUGAAAUAAGUCGUAACAAAGUAGAGGUACUGGAAAGUGUUUCUAGAAAGAU